rnacentral:rRNA from 1 species
UAGGGAAUCUUCGGCAAUGGACGGAAGUCUGACCGAGCAACGCCGCGUGAGUGAAGAAGGUUUUCGGAUCGUAAAGCUCUGUUGUAAGAGAAGAACGAGUGUGAGAGUGGAAAGUUCACACUGUGACGGUAUCUUACCAGAAAGGGACGGCUAACUACGUGCCAGCAGCCGCGGUAAUACGUAGGUCCCGAGCGUUGUCCGGAUUUAUUGGGCGUAAAGCGAGCGCAGGCGGUUAGAUAAGUCUGAAGUUAAAGGCUGUGGCUUAACCAUAGUAGGCUUUGGAAACUGUUUAACUUGAGUGCAAGAGGGGAGAGUGGAAUUCCAUGUGUAGCGGUGAAAUGCGUAGAUAUAUGGAGGAACACCGGUGGCGAAAGCGGCUCUCUGGCUUGUAAUGACGCUGAGGCUCGAAAGCGUGGGGAGCAAACAGGAUUAGAUACCCUGGUAGUCCACGCUGUAAACGAUGAGUGCUAGGUGUUAGACCCUUUCCGGGGUUUAGUGCCGUAGCUAACGCAUUAAGCACUCCGCCUGGGGAGUACGACCGCAAGGUUG